ensembl:lncRNA
CAAAAGUAUUUAGUGAUAGUAACUGUUUGCUUGUGAUAUCUAAUUAUGGUAUGGUAAUAAUUUUUUAAAGUACAAUUUAUAGUAAUUAUUGGACUAAAUCGGAUCUUAUAAAUGCUAGUUAUGUGUAUGUGCAUUGAUAUAUUAAAAACAGCCAAAUAUUAACGCUAAUUCCUUCCUCUGCAGGUUGGUGUGGUCACGUGACUGCGUGGCUACGUCUGAUUGGUGAAACAGUGUCAUGUGGUUUAUUGUUGCUACUUCCGGACGGUGAAACGUAAUCAUGUGGCGGUAUUUGUCCCCAAGAGCAUCUGGCAAAAACAAAGCAUAUAAAUGGUUUAAAAAAGCAACGAGUCGAGUUUUGCCCAAUGUAACGACGUAAGAGUAGAGUUUCUAAUUCACAAAUAAACUCAAGUAAAAAUAUGGCGUUGUAAACCUAACUAUUUUUUCCCCAAAAAUGUACUCAAGAUAAAUGUAACGGAGUACAUGUACCUCGUUGCUACCCACCUCUGCAUAUGACAAAAAGGACAUUUGCCUUUUCAGUCAUUCACCAGUGGGUGGAGACAUUUUGGCCUGAGAAUAAUAUUAGUCGACUUUUAUUCAUUAGAACCUGAUUUUAGUUACCAAUUGUACAGGUGUAGAUACCGAUUGUACAUUCAGUAGAUAAAAACAAAUACAUAUUUAGACGCCCUUAUCCAGAGCGACUUAAAAUCACUAGUUACAGGGACAGUCCCCCCCCCUGGAGACACUCGGGGUUAAGUGUCUUGCUCAGGGACACAAUGGUAGUGAGUGGGAUUUGAACCUGGGUCUUCUGGUUCAUAGGCGAGUGUGUCACCCACAGGCGACUAGCACCGAAUGGUUCGGACUGUAUUUCCAGGAUAAUGGGGUGCUCUUCGUCCAGCUCUCAGACCGCUGGCCAGGAAAACAGACCGGCCACGAAACCCGAGGAGAGUAACGGAGACACGACUUUCGUCGCCCGCAAUGGAAGUGCUGCAGAAGACACAGAAACCAUCGAAGAUCAGAUGCAGCUGCCCGUUCAGAGUGCCUCACCGGAUGGGGAGGUGGUGGAGCCUGUAGUGGAGGCCUGCGAGGCCACCGAGGGCCUGGCAGUGGAAGAAGGUGCGUCAGCCAUCGCAGAGCCGGAGCCUGGUGCUGAGAGCGUGGAACUUGCUGCUCCUGCUGCUGAAGCACUGGGGCCUGAGACAGCAGUGGAAGUGCUGGCCGCUGCUGCUGAAAGUGUCGAAGCUGCUGCUGAAGCUGCUGCUGAAGCUGAGGCUGCUCCUGAAACUGAGGCUGCUGUUGAAGCUGCUCCUGAAACCGAGGCUGCUCCUGAAACCGAGGCUGCUGUUGAAGCUGCUCCUGAAACCGAGGCUGCUGUUGAAGCUGCUCCUGAAACCGAGGCUGCUCCUGAAACUGAGGCUGCUGUUGAAGCUGCUGCUGAAGCUGAGGCUGUUGUUGAAGCUGGCAUGGCUCCUGAAGCAGAGCCUCAACUAGAAGCUGUGGACCCUCUGGAGGUUCCAGCUUCCAGUGAAGCAGAUGAAUCUGUGCAACCUGUUGAAUGUGCAAGUGUAGUUCAGAAAGCCGAUGCUAGUCUACCUGCUGAAUCCAACAUUCCUAACGAAUCACCUCCCAAAGAAGAAGCUGUGGCUUCCUGCCCUGUAGAAACGACACAAGCCGUGGAAGCUGAGCUUCCUGUCCCAAAAGAAGCUGUAGCUGCAGAGGCUGUGGAAAGUGCAGAAGACUCCUCAGCGCCCAAGGCCACAAACAUCUCAGUGGUGGAGCCCAGUGCUGCUGAAGCUGAGAAGGUGGAGGAACCUGUUCCAGUCCCUGAGACUGACGAGAGCUUGGCUCCAGGGCGUGAGGUGGAGAGUGUUGCCGCACCCGAAUCAGACAGCACUUCUGAAGCAGCGGCAGCUGUGGAGGCCAAGAUAGAAGGGGACGCACCAGAGACCUCGCCAGGGACUGGAGCGGAAGUGGCCAAAACGGCGGAGGAGGCUCCUGCUGCCACCGACGAGUAAUGCUCCUGUCCCAUUCGGAGGACAUGUCUGACAUGGAGCCCAAAGAACCAAGUGACGACGUUUACAUGAGCACACUGAUGCAUUCGCACACACUCUCUCACACAGGCACUUAACACGUUCUAGCUCAUUAGUAGAAAUGUAUUCAUUACUAGUCUGACACCAUUGUGCCUUCUGCCUUGCGAGCCAGGAGAUUCUCUCAUUUGUACAUAUUUAUACGUGUGCUCGUAUUAGCAUUUUUACAGACGCCCACUGGAAAGAUGGGGGACGGUGGUAGUGCCCAUUUUGUACCGCAAACCAUUCAGCUUAAGGUUUACUAACAAGUAAAAGUGGAGGGUCAGGGGUCAUGCGGUCACUUUCCACCCAUCACCCAUCACUAGAUGCUGUUUGAAGCGAAACAAAUGCUAAUUCACUUCUUUACACGUGGGAAAAAGAAGCAGAAAUGUCAGAACUGCGAAGAAGGAACACGCGAGUGCAGCGUAUUGAUGGUGAACGGCUGAAGAAAUGUACUUUUAGGAUACGGCCGGGCCGCAUGUGCUAAGAAAUAAUACCAGAAUUAUUAAAAGGCAGCAGAUUUGUCAUUAACACACAUUUGAUGGGCUAUGAAGGUUGAUUAAUAUUCAUCCCUUCUUUGCUUUUAGACGACACUUGUCGCUGUUUAAACGGACUUUCCAGUUUCCUGUCACCUUGUGUCACACCACUGGUGACGCUUCCGUCUGCAAAUGCAGCCUCAAAGUUGUGGGGAAACGUGUAAGCCUAAUCAAGGCAGGGGGGGGAACGAAAGUACCGUCGUCUUUACGUCUCUCUUCAUCUCAUCCCCGUCGUACGUUGUAUUAAAGUGUACGGUGGCGUGACACGGCUCCUUCGGAUUCAGCCUUGAAAUCCCUUUCCUUCAUCGGGGAUCCACUGGAUCCCUGGCAGCCCAGUCGGUCCCAACGUUUACCGUCUGCAGACGGUUGGUGGAAUAAAUUACGCCAGACUGACUUACUUAAAAACA